AAAGAUAUCGGCAAAACAAAGCCGACCAAGCUUCAUUUCGACCUAAGAGGCCGAGAAGUCGUCGUAACAUCCGUUGGAGGGCAUUUCUAGAGCCUCCAUACCCUCAAGAGGUGGGGGGUGUCAUCCCGAAGCAUCCGGGUUUCUUUUUAUGUCUAAGUUAUAUAUAUGCUUGAUCAUAUUGCAUUAUAGGAUUAGUAGAUAGUUGCAAAAUUCUAAUUCCUUGCAUGCUUCUUAGUAGUGUAACUAUGAGUUGGACACAUGGACUAGGGUAGCAUGAGGAUUGGGUCUUGUGACAUGAAAAU
rnacentral:lncRNA from 1 species